CAGUAGCCGCGGUAAUACAGAGGGUGCGAGCGUUAAUCGGAUUUACUGGGCGUAAAGCGUGCGUAGGCGGCUAAUUGAGUCGGAUGUGAAAUCCCCGAGCUUAACUUGGGAAUUGCAUUCGAUACUGGUUAGCUAGAGUGUGGGAGAGGAUGGUAGAACUCCAGGUGUAGCGGUGAAAUGCGUAGAGAUCUGGAGGAAUACCGAUGGCGAAGGCAGCCAUCUGGCCUAACACUGACGCUGAGGUACGAAAGCAUGGGGAGCAAACAGGAUUAGAUACCCGAGUAGUCCCUGUCUCUUAUAC
rnacentral:rRNA from 1 species